rnacentral:tRNA from 2 species
GGGCGUUUAGCUCAGUGGUAGAGCACCUCGUUUACACCGAGUAGGCCGGGGGUUCGAAUCCCUCAACGCCCACCA